GAUGAACGCUGGCGGCGUGCCUAAUACAUGCAAGUAGAACGCUGAAGGAGGAGCUUGCUCUUCUGGAUGAGUUGCGAACGGGUGAGUAACGCGUAGGUAACCUGCCUGGUAGCGGGGGAUAACUAUUGGAAACGAUAGCUAAUACCGCAUAACAGUAGAUAUUGCAUGAUAUCUGCUUGAAAGGGGCAAUUGCUCCACUACCAGAUGGACCUGCGUUGUAUUAGCUAGUUGGUGAGGUAACGGCUCACCAAGGCGACGAUACAUAGCCGACCUGAGAGGGUGAUCGGCCACACUGGGACUGAGACACGGCCCAGACUCCUACGGGAGGCAGCAGUAGGGAAUCUUCGGCAAUGGACGGAAGUCUGACCGAGCAACGCCGCGUGAGUGAAGAAGGUUUUCGGAUCGUAAAGCUCUGUUGUAAGAGAAGAACGAGUGUGAGAGUGGAAAGUUCGCACUGUGACGGUAUCUUACCAGAAAGGGACGGCUAACUACGUGC
rnacentral:rRNA from 1 species